UACGAAGGGGGCUAGCGUUGUUCGGAAUUACUGGGCGUAAAGCGCGCGCAGGCGGUCCUUCAAGUCAGAGGUGAAAGCCCAGAGCUCAACUCUGGAACGGCCUUUGAGACUAGAGGACUUGGGUACGGGAGAGGUGAGUGGAAUUCCGAGUGUAGAGGUGAAAUUCGUAGAUAUUCGAAGAACACCAGUGGCGGAAGGCGGCUCACUGGC
rnacentral:rRNA from 1 species